UGAAUGAAAUGCAAUAACGGGUAGUUGUUGUGCGUUGUAUCUUCGUGAUCCCCUGUUAUGUUGUGCUAUCUGUUAUGUGUUGCUAUUAUCACAACCUGAAUAGGUUGUCUGAAUUUGUGAUGGGGCUAGCUUUCGGUAACUUGUUAUUAGGUAAAGACUUGGCAAAUGUAAUCGUGAUAUGGAACUGCUCAUAUUUGGUUUCUUGAAGACUAGACAAUCCUUACUAUUCGUGUUCAUGGAUAUUAACUUUUUUAUUUUUGUUGGUUUCACUCGAGAUCACUGCAACUGGUCUGCCUGCUGGCUGGAUGCUUCGUUAGAUUAUGUGUAUGGUUUCUCUUGUCAAGAACAAAUUCUUUGACAGCAAAAUGGAUGUACAGAGAUGGAUUUAGAAAUGGAGGAGUAAUUUAUUUGUUGUAUGAUUCAACCAUAAAAUUUAUAUAUUUUCAGUGUGGAUUCAUAUAUGCUCAACAAGUUACCCCUAGUUGCACUUGCACUUAUUUAUGUUGAAGUUGUUGACGUAUAUCUAGAACGUUUACAACAUGUGUUGCCGCACAUUGUCCUCAUCAUCCAUAAUCAUGUUGUGCAAGAUUACAAAACAUGUCAUCAACUGCACAAUAUCAUUGGAUCCCACAUCAUUGCAGCUCCAUGAACAAAACCCCCAGGAUGCCGGAGCAAUCUGAAUGCCCUAUCCACAUCUUUCCUGGCACCUUCUUGCAUUCUUGCAAAAUGACAUUAUUUGUUACCUUGGCGCUUAGAUAUAGUCUUCACAAAAGCUGUCCACUGGGGACAAAUACCAUUGGCAAGGUACUAUCCAUUUUGUAGUUAUGCAUGUUGACAAUGUAGUUGCAUGCUGGAGUAUCACCAUCACAGAGUCUCUUGAACAACGGAGAUUACUAGAGCACAUUGAUGUCGUUAUGCGAACCUCGCAUGUCAAAUCUGCAAAUUCUUUGGUGCCACUGCUUCAAGCAUGAUGGUGGCCUCUUUGGUGCGACCUUGGUAUUGUCCUUGCAAACUUGUCGCGCAAUACUUUGAUAACCCACAAGUAUAGGGGAUCGCUACAGUCUUCAAGUGUAGUAUCUCACCCAAAUUUAUUAAUUCGACACAAGGGGAGCCAAAUAAUAUUUAUGAGCCUUAGCAGUUGAGUUGUCAAUUCAACCACACAUGUGAAAUUAUAUUUCUGCAGCAAAGUGUUCAGUAGCUGAUAUGUCUCCAACGUAUCUAUAAUUUUUGAUUGUUCCAUGCUAUUAUAUUAUCUGUUUUGGAUGUUUUAUAUGCAUUAAUAUGCGAUUUUAUAUUAUUUUUGGGACUAACCUUUUAACCUAGAGCCCAGUGCCAGUGUCUAUUUCCCCCCUUGUUUUUGAGUUUUACAGAAAAAAAAUACCAAACACAAUCCAAACGGAAUAAAACUUUUGCGAUGAUUUUUCUUGGACCAGAAGACACCAGAGGACUUGGAGAGGGGCCAGAAGGUUCCUGAGGAGGCCACAAGCCUCCUAGGCGCGCCGCGGGGGGGGGGCUGAGGGCUUGUGGGCCCCUCGGGAGUCCUCCAACCCUAAUCUUUCCACUAUAAAUUCAGAAAUAUCCCCCCAACAUCAGAGGCAUCCACAAAAAUACUUUUCCACCGCCGCAAGCCUCUGUUCCCGUGAGAUCCCAUCUUGGGGCCUUUUCCGGCACCCUGUCGGAGGGGGAUUCGAUCACAGAGGGCCUCUACAUCAACCUUGAUGCCCUUCUAAUGAAGCGUGAGUAGUUUACCACAGACCUAUGAGUCCAUAGCUAGUAGCUUGAUGGCUUCUUCUCUCUCUUUGAUAUUCAAUACAAUGUUCUCCUCGAUGUUCUUGGAGUUCUAUCCGACGUAAUAUUCUUUUGCGAUGUGUUUGUCGAGAUCCGAUGAAUUGUUGAUUUAUGAUCAGAUUAUCUAUGAAUAUUAUCUGAGUCUUCUCUGAACUCUUUUAUGCAUGAUUAAAUAUCUUUGUAUUUCUCUUCGAAUUAUCGGUUUGGUUUGGCCAACUAGAUUGGGUUUUCUUGCAAUGGGUACCCGCGAGUGAUGUGGAGACGGGUUGGCCAAGAAGGUGCCCGCGAGAUACUUACGAGGCGUGGCCGGACAUUCCUAGCCCCUGCCGCAAGUCCUCGAGACGGGGCAAUGGGGUCACAUCUUUCGUGAGUCUCUGCUUGUUACCACACGUUCCUAAUCCACUACGAUUUGGAUAUUUGAUCCAAGGGGCCUCUGGCCUGAUAGCACUAACCAUCACGUGGGCAUAGUAUGGGCGUUCUGCGUCGUAUACAUCAACCGAAGCUUAAUAGACAUCAGCGACUGAGCGGCGCGCGCCGGGUUGGACUGCGUAAGCACUUGCCUUUUUGAAGGAGGUAGCUAGGUCUGCUCACCGGCCGCCCACACAACGUGCAGGAGUUCCCGGGGAGAUGGCCCAUGACCCCUGGGGGCAUAGGUUUAGUCCGGCAUGCUUGACCUCUCUAUUAAGCCUAGGUCGGGUUGCGGCGUAUUGUUUGGCCGAGGCAGGGCAUGACCGAGGAAAGUGUGUUCGGCCGGAGUUAAUCGAGCGUGGUGGGUAAGUUGGUGCACCCCUGCAGGGAAGAAAACAUCUAUCAAUAGCUCGUCCUACGGUAACGGACACUUGGAGUUGUAUCCCGAUCGAUACAACUAAAACUGGAUACUUGUGAUGAGAAUUGGAUUGUGAUGAGGUGAUAACUGGAUGGUAUGGCUCUGGGAUUGCUUUCUCACAGGGAGUCGAGAAAGGAUCUCUGGCCGAGGUUGAUAACACUACUACUACUUUACUUUAUGCUACUCUACUCCCUCCUGUUUGCUGCAAGAUGGUGGUUUCCUGAAGAUGCUAGUCUUUGAUAGGACUAGGCCUUCUCUCUAUUCUGGCAUUUCUGCAGCCCAGUCCACAUAUACAGCCCCUCUUUGAUAAUGUUGCAUAUGUAGUGUAGAUCCUUGCUUGCGAGUACUUUGGAUGAGUACUCACGGUUGCUUGCUCCCCCUUUUCCCCCUUUCUUCUUCUUUCCGGUUGAUGCAACCAGAUGUCGGAGCCCAGGAUCCAGACGCCACCUUUGACGACGACUGCUACUACCACGAGGGUGCCUACUACUACGUGAAGACCGCUGACGACUAGGAAUAGUUAGGAGGCUCCCAGGCAGGAGGCCUUGCCUUUUCGAUCGUAGAUGCUUUUGUGCUAGCCUUCUUAAGGCAAACUUGUCUAACCUAUGUGUGUACUCACAUAUUGUUGCUUCCGCUGACUCUUGUGUAUUUGAGCUUAUGUAUUCGAGCCCUCGAGGCCCCUGGCUUGUAAUAUAAAGCUUGUAUUAUUUUAAUUUGUGUCUAGAGUUGUGUUGUGACAUCUUCCCGUGAGUCCAUGAUCUUGAUCAUACACAUUUGCGUGUAUGAUUAGUGUACGAUUGAAUCGAGGGUGUCACAAGUUGGUAUCAGAGCCGACUACCUGUAGGUAGCCCCCUUUCCAAUUCCUUGGCCGAAGUUGAGUCUAGUCACUAAAAAACUUGUACUAACAUUGGCUGUGUGUCUUACGGGCCCACAUCGCCAUUGGGUGGUAUUAGGAUCUUUUACUCCUCGUCUAUACUCUAGGACUCUUAACUCUCUUCUACUCGGGUUAAAUGAAUUUACUAACUCUAACAUUAGGAUCCCGUGACCACAUUCACCCCAAAGUUGGAUAAGCCAUAGUUAUUCCUUAGAAUAGCCUCUUGAAUAGUACACACACCGUCGAGUUGACUACUAUGUGGUAUCCAUCAUACCUCUUUCUUUAUGCAUGUUUCAUCAUGAAUGAUCCUUGUAUUUGCAAAUGCUCAAUGCUGAACUACCCCCUGUUACAUGUCAGCAGGAUGGUUAGACCCGCUGGUCGUGGCCAUGGUGCCAACGAUCCACCACCACCCGAAUUCUUUGCCGGAAUGAUGCAGCAAUUUGAGCUGAACCGCCAGUUCAUGGAAGGAAUGAUGGCUCAGUUUCCUUGUCCGAACAUGAAUCAGCAGCCAACCCCAGUAACUCUGCACGACUUCAUGCGCCUCAACCCAACUAUUUACCGCAACUCAACUCAGCCCCUCGAUGCUGAUGACUGGCUCCGCGACAUCACAUAUGAAAUGGAGUCUGCUAGUGUGGCCCCUGCUAGCUAUGUCACCUUUGCAUCAUUCUUUCUGAAGGGUCCCGCUGCUCAAUGGUGGGACAGCCAUAGGCAUACUCUACCUGUUGGAACAGUCAUCACUUGGCCGGAUUUCCAAGCUGCCUUCCGUGCUCGUUUUAUUCCUCAGGGAAUCAUGGACAAGAAGAAGCGCGAGUUCCACAACCUCACCCAAGGAAAUAAGGCUGUAGAUGCUUAUCAGUGGGAAUUUCUAGACUUGUCACGUUAUGCUGAAGAAGACAUUGCAACUGAUGCUCGUAAGCAAGAGAAGUUUCGUGACGGACUUCACCCGUAUAUCAAGCUAGCACUGCUCGUUCAUGACUUUGCUGAUUUCGCCACUUUGGUGAACAAGGCUAUUCAGGUUGAGACUGGUCUUCAGGAACACCAGGGAUCCCUCAGCGCAGCCGUGACGCUGGCUCAUCUUCGGGCCCGUCAGCACAGAAGCGUCGGAUAUGGAUCCCCCACAGCAUGUAUCAUCCAACUGCACCUGCUCCAAGACAUUCCUAUGUUGCACCUCGUCUACCUCCUCCACCGCAAAGGCAACCUCUUCGAGCUGUACCACCCAAAGCUCCUGAUCCCAACCCCAAUGAUGGUCUAUGCUUCAAGUGUGGCCUUCCAGGUCACCGCUCCAGGAAAUGUCCUCAGAAUCAGAAUCAACUCGCUCUUCCUGCUGCUGGUCGUGGUAACAAUCAACCCCGCAACAACAAUGCCCGACCUUAUGGUUGUGGGCAGGCUAACAACAUUGAUCUGAAUGAAGCUCAAGACCAGCCUGCUACUGUGAUGGGUACUCUCCUUGUUAAUUCAGUACCAGCUUCUGUUUUAUUCGAUUCAGGAGCAUCACAUUCAUUCAUGUCAGAAAAUUUUGCAUACGCACAUGACAUUCGAUGUGAGCCCAUGAACACUCUGAUAGUGGUACGCACCCCUGCGGGUCAGUGUUGAACUACCAUGAUUGGUCGCGACGUCCCCGUUGAAAUUGAAGGGUUGGAAUUUCAUGUUUCUCCCAUUAUUCUGGAGUCUUCCAAUAUUGACCUCAUUCUGGGAAUGGAAUGGUUGAAAGCACAAUACUGCCUCUAUCGUUUGCACCACCAAAGUCAUUCAUCUCCUACAUCCUUCCGAUGAGAUAGUAAGCUACCAUGCUCAGAUUGUUCAAAACGCUGAAGCAUGACUUUAUGCUUUGAAUGCGUUGAAUGCAGCACCUCUUGAGGGAAUUGAAAAGAUUCCAGUCGUUCGCGACUUCCAAGACGUAUUUCCAUAAGAACUUCUAGGAAUACCCCAUGCCCGGGCUGUCGAGUUCGUCAUCGACUUGAAACCAGGCACCGUUCCUAUUGCCAAACGACCCUACAAGAUGCCACCUCAUGAACUCCUUGAACUUAAGGAGGAAAUCGACAAAUCUCUUCGUAGUAGUUUCAUUCGUCCAAGUUUCUCUGCUUGGGGAGCACCUUCUCUCUUCGUCAAGAAGAAGGACGGAACGAACCGUCUAGUCCAAGACUACCGUCCUAUCAACCAAGCUACAAUUCAGAACAAAUAUCCCCUUCCUCGGAUCAAUGAUCUGUAUGAUCAACUAGCUGGUUCAUCGAUAUUCUCUAAACUUGACUUGAGGUUGGGUUACCACCAGAUCCGUGUUCGUGAAGAGGAUAUUCCAAAGACUGCAUUCGUCACUCGUUAUGGUUCUUACGAGUACACAAUUAUGUAUUUUGGCUUAACCAAUGCUCCAGCUACAUUCUCUCGUCUGAUGAACUAUAUAUUCAUGGAUUACCUCGACAAGUUUUUCGUAGUCUAUCUGGAUGAUAUACUAGUAUAUUACCGAAAAAAUCUUUCGCCCCGCUUUAUAUAUAAAGCACCAAACCACAAAGACCAUGAUAGAAACUCACGCCACCACCGCACAUGACACACACACCCAAGGCAAGAUACAAGGGUGCCGGGCACCGCCACACCACCCCAACGACUACCAAGCCACUACAAAUGCGCGAGGACAAACUGCUUGGAGCCACCAGAGACCUCCUCCUCCGAGGGGAGGUGAGACGGGAAUGACUGAACCAGGACUCCAAGAUGGUGCCUCCAAGAAGGGAACGACCACGAUAGCCGCCACCAUCCGAUCCCAAAGAUCGGGUUUUCACCCGGAGCAACUCGAAGGAGAAAGGCCACUGCAACGGAGCCUACAGGAAGGAUACGGUGUCCACGGACGCCGCCACCGUCAGCCAAUACAAGAUUGGGCAGGUAAUGAACCCCAGCACGCCCACCCCUCCGAAGCAACCUAGCUCCGUCAACCACCAGCGACCACCCACCCACGUGGCCGUGGCCGCUCGCCCGCACCGAGGCGCAAGUCCCGCCCACGAACUUCGUGCCUCCCACCGCCGGGGCCGCCGCCCUGCAUCCAGACACCCCCAGGACCGACCAAAGUGAUCAGCUUGGGCCAAAGGGCGCACCCGACCGAAGAAACCGCGGCAUACAUCCCGCCUCGAACAACGCCGGAGUUGCGUCAGCCCACACAUGGCUGGGGAACGGGGGAGGAGGGGGAGCGGACGCAUCCGGGCCGGCACACCCCUGUGCCAGCGACGGGUGGCCCGGGCUCGGCGGCGCCUCCCGUCCCUCCAGCCUGCCUCCCCACCGGACAACUCGGUAUCGCCCCACCUCGGCGGCGACCGCAGCUCCACUCGAGGCCACCAACAUACACCCGCCCACCGGCAAGGAGAGAUCCCGAGGGCCGCCACCAAUCGCGAAGGAAGCUCACUGAGGAGCCCAUCUGCGCGGCCCACCGUCGUCCAGCCGCCGAAGCUUCGGAUCCCGGCCAGCCCGCCCACCAGCCAACCGCUGCCGCGUCGCACCACCACUCGCCGUGGCCAUGGCAGGGGCAGAGACUAGCAGCCCGCACCGCCCUUGGCCCGUGCCGCCAGGUCCCAGAUCCGGCCUCGACCCGCGCCGAAGGACCCGGAUCUGGCGACCAAGGCACGCCCACCACCGCCGCGCCGGUCACGCCGCCGCCACGAAGCCGUCGCCAUCAGGCUCCAGCUCGCCGCCGUGCUGCCAUGCCCGCCACCAGCACCGCAUCCCAGGCGGCCGCCGCGACCCGCGCCGGAGGCCCCCACCAAGGAGACAAGGCAGCCCUGCCGCCGCCGGCGCCUACCAGGCUUCGCCCGGCGCGCCCUCUUUGGCGGCGACGAGGGAGAGGAAGGAGGAGGAGGGGAAGCCCGCCGGCGGCGCUAGGGUUUCUCCCGAGACGCGCGCGCGGGGCGCGUCGCGGGAGCGAGAGGGAGGAGGGGAUCGCGUCGGAAUUUCCUUUUUUCGUCGAAGAAUAAAGAAGAACAUGCUAAACAUCUUCGUCUUGUUCUGGAGAAGCUCCGAGAACAUCAACUUUAUGCCAAGUAUUCCAAGUGUGAAUUCUGGUUACCCGAAGUCACCUACCUUGGUCAUGUCAUCUCCAAGGAUGGUAUUGCCGUCAACCCAGAGCGUGUUCAGGCUAUUCUUGACUGGACCCCUCCGAAGACUGUCAAGCAAGUCAGAAGCUUUCUCGGACUAGCCAGGUAUUGUCGCAGCUUUGUCGAUAACUUCUCCAAGAUCGCCAAGCCACUUACCAAUCUGCUACACAAAGGCGUUAAGUUUGAUUGGAUUGAAAAGUGUCAGGAAAGUUUCCAGGCACUCAAGGACAAGCUGACAUCUGCCCCAGUGCUUGCUCCCCCUGAUUCUCGCAAGGACUUCGUCAUCUAUUGCGACGCUUCACGACAAGGACUAGGAUGUGUCCUAAUGCAAGAGCAUAGAGUGAUUGCUUAUGCCUCCCGUCAAGUGCGUCCUCACAAAGAGAACUACCCAGUUCAUGACCUCGAGCUUGCUGCGGUUAUCUUUGCACUGAAGCUAUGGCGACAGUACCUUCUCGGUAACCGUUGCGAGAUCUUCACCGAUCAUCAGAGUCUGAAGUACCUGUUUACUCAGCCAGAUCUGAACUCCAUCAGCAGCGAUGGAUGGAAGCUAUUGCUGACUACAACUGCGGUAUAUCUUAUACCCCUGGUAAGGCUAAUGUAAUGGCCGAUGCCCUGAGCCGUAAGUCUUACUGCAACAAUCACAUGGUCUACAAAUCUCAACCCCGCCUUUAUAAAGAGCUAUGCAAGCUAAACCUUCAACUAGUUCCAUAGGGUUCUGAUGUAGGGUGGAACCCUAUGUGGACGAUCUUUCAUGUUUGGAGUGGAUCCUACGGGAAAUCACGAAGAACACGCGGAAGCACAAAGGGGAACACGGAGGAAACGAGAGGGAAAUCACUCAACCAACAAGGAAUCAAUCACACAAGUGCUAGAUCACCGAACACAAAGAGAUACAUAUGAUCCACAAUCAACAAAGGUAAGGAUACAAAGGAACCGUUCUUCUCCGUGAGGAGGCCUUGAAAUCCACGAGGGGAUCUUCUCACGAGGGGGUCUUGAAUCCGAUAGGAUCUUCUCCGAGGAGGCCGCGGUCUCUCACGAGGAGGAGAUCCGGUGGAUGAGCGAAUAUCUAUCUCUAACUUGAGCUAAAUCAACACUAAAUCUAAUUAGGAGGAGGUGGAGGAGUAUAUAUAGUCUAGGGCCACGAAGGGGUAAGUGAAGGGGUACAUGGGCUGCGGCCCAACACACUGUGCGCAGAUAGGUGUCGGACGUCCGGAGGGUUCCGGUCGUCCGGAGGCUCGGGAAGGUCCGGACGUCCGGUGCUCUUCGGACUUCCGUAGAUUCGGCUCGGGUGCACUUCGGUCGGACGUCCGGAGGGGGCCGGUCGUCCGGAGGCUCGCGGGGUCCCGGACAUCCGAAGUUCUUCGGAUGUCCGCAUAUUCGGUUCGGUGGUCGCUGGCACGGUCGUCCGGAGGGGGCCGGUCGUCCGGAGCCUGGGAGUCGUCGGACGUCCGGUCCUGGUCGGACGUCCGGCCGCUGUAGCUUCGGGCAGCUUCUUCUCUUGGUCCUUGUACUUGGUGUCCUUGCCGUCUUGUCCAUGGUCUUCCUCCUUGUUCCUGGUCAUGCAUAGCACAUAUAUAUGAGGUAGUAACCAUGUCUCACAUGUGGGAAGUGAAGGUUCAGAGAGGAGCGAGUUCACCUUGUGUCCAAUGGCGUAUAGUUGAGGUCUCGUCACAAGUCCUCUUAGGGUUUGGAGAGUAGUCGGAGUGUACAUGGGGAUGAACGUGGGAUGCUCCGCAUCAGGUUCUCUGAAUAACCUUGUCCUGGAACCAACUCUUCUCAAAGCAAUUAAGUCUGCUCAAGCCAAAGAUGCACAUGUUGAUCUGAUGAAAAAGGAUCUUGACUUAGAGAAAUCCAGAGAUUUCUCACUUGGUGAAGAUGGAACCUUAUACUUCAGAGAUCGCAUUGUAGUGCCCCGGUUCAAGCUUAUGACAGAGAAGGUGAUGAAAGAAGUGCAUGACACCCCUCUCUCUAUUCAUCCGGGAAGUACCAAGAUGUAUCUAGACAUUCGUCAGAAGUAUUGGUGGUCUAAGAUGAAGCAAGACAUUGCUCGAUAUAUUGAAGAAUGUGACGUUUGUCGUCGCGUCAAAGCAGAACAUCAGAAACCGGCUGGACUUCUACAACCGCUUCCGAUUCCUGAAUGGAAGUGGGAUAAGAUCCAAAUGGAUUUUGUCACAGGCCUUCCCAAGUCUCAGAAAGGUAAUGAUGCUAUCUUUGUCGUCAUCGACCAAUUCUCGAUGGUUGCUCACUUUCUGCCAGUCAAGGAGACAAUCACUGCUAGUCAAUUAGCAAACUUGUAUAUCUCUUGAAUUGUGUCACUCCAUGGCAUUCCGAAGGAGAUCAGUUCAGACCGCGGCAGUAUAUUCACUUCAAAGUUCUGGGAUAGUUUCCAAGAGGAAAUGGGAACUCAUAUUACCUGGAGCACUGCUUAUCAUCCCCAAUCCCAAGGACAAGUCAAGCGAGUCAAUCAAAUUCUUGAAGAGAUCCUUCGAGCUUGUGUUAUUUCUUUUGGAAAGAAGUGGGAAGAAUCUCUCCCUUAUGCGGAGUUCUCUUAUAACAACAGCUAUCAAGCCAGCUUGAAGAUGUCACACUUCAAAGUGCUAUAUGGACGUAAGUGCCAAACCCCUCUGAAUUCGUCAAAAACUGGGGAAUGAACGCUCAUUAGUCGAGACAUUAUUCAACAAGCUGAAGAGCAGGUUCACAUUGUCCGGGAUAAUCUCAAGGCGGCCCAGUCCCGCCAGAAGAGCAACUAUGACCAGAAAACACUAGGGUUCAACUUAUCAACCUGGUGAACAAGCUUAUUUGCGUGUCACUCCUUUGAGAGGCACUCAUCGGUUCGGAGUCAAGGCAAGCUAGCUCUGCGCUACAUUGGUCCUUUCCGCAUUCUCUCCCAUCAAGGACUGGUGGCUUAUCAAUUGGAGUUGUCACCUCAGUUCUCUCACGUCCAUGACGUCUUCCACGUGUCGCAACUUCGUCGAUGUUUCAAGGAUCCGGAACGUGAAGUGGAUCCGGAAUUGAUUGAAGUUCAAGAUGAUCUCACAUACAAAGAGCAUCCAAUCCGCAUUCUUGAAGAAGCUGAACGUCGAACCCGCCAGAAGGUUACUGAUACGUCUCCAAUGUAUCUACUUUUCCAAACACUUUUGCCCUUGUUUUGGACUCUAACUUGCAUGAUUUGAAUGAAACUAACUCGGACUGACGUUGUUUUCAGCAGAACUGCCAUGAUGUUGUUUUAUGUGUAGAAACGAAAAGUUCUCGGAAUGUCUUGGAAAUCCAUGGAGGCAAUUUUAAGAAUUAAUAAGAAUUUCUAGGCGAAAGAAAUACACCAGGGGGCCCACACCCUGUCCAUGAGAUAGCCCCCCCCUAGGGCGCGUCCUCCUAUCUCGUGGGCCCCCUGGACCUCCAUCGACCUCAACUCCAACUCCCAUAUAUUCACGUUUGGGGAGAAAAAAAUCAGAGAGAAAGUUUCAUCGCGUUUUACGACACAGAGCCACCGCCAAGCCCUAAUCUCUCUCGGGAGGGCUGAUCUGGAGUCCAUUCGGGGCUCCGGAGAGGGGGAUUCAUCGCCGUCGUCAUCAUCAACCAUCCUCCACCAAUUUCAUGAUGCUCACUGCCGUGCGUGAGUAAUUCCAUCGUGGGCUUGCUGGACGGUGAUGGGUUGGAUGAGAUUUACCAUGUAAUCAAGUUAGUUUUGUUAGGGUUUGAUCCCUAGUAUCCACUAUGUUAUGAGAUUGAUGUUGCUAUGACUUUGCUAUGCUUAAUGCUUAUCACUAGGGCCCGAGUGCCAUGAUUUCAAAUCUGAACCUAUUAUGUUUUCAUGAAUAUAUGUGUGUUCUUGAUCCUAUCUUGCAAGUCUAUAGUCACCUAUUAUGUGUUAUGAUCCGACAACCCCGAAGUGACAAUAAUCGGGAUACUUCUCGGUGAUGACCGUAGUUUGAGGAGUUCAUGUAUUCACUAUGUGCUAAUGCUUUGUUCCGGUUCUCUAUUAAAAGGAGGCCUUAAUAUCCCUUAGUUUCCGCUAGGACCCCACUGCCACGGGAGGGUAGGACAAAAGAUGUCAUGCAAGUUCUUUUCCAUAAGCACGUAUGACUAUUUACGGAAUACAUGCCUACAUUACAUUGAUGAACUGGAGCUAGUUCUAUGUCACCCUAUGUUAUAGCUAUUACAUGAGGAAUCGCAUCCGACAUAAUUGUCCAUCACUGAUCCAUUGCCUACGAGCUUUUCAUAUAUUGUUUUUCGCUUAUUUACUUUUCCGUUGCUACUGUUACAACUACUACAAAAACCCAAAAUUAUUAUCUUUACUUUUGCUACCGUUACCUUUAUUAACAUACCACUUUUGCUACUAAAUACUUUGCUAUAGAUACUAAGUUAUCCAGGUGUGGUUGAAUUGACAACUCAACUGCUAAUACUCAAGAAUAUUCUUUGGCUCCCCUUGUGUCGAAUCAAUAAAUUCGGGUUGAAUACUUUACCCUCGAAAGCUGUUGCGAUCCCCUACACUUGUGGGUUAUCAAGACUAAUUUCUGGCGCCCUUGCCGGGGAGCAUAGCUCUAUUCUCCGACUAACUUGGGAUUUAUAUCUGUUGAUCACUAUGAAGAACUUGAAAGACGAUAGAACUAUGAUCUAUCCCUCAACUACGAGGGGAGGUAAGGAACUGCCAUCUAGCUCUGCACUAGAUUCUCCUUCUAUUAUUAGUAAGCUUGCGACACCUAAACCUGCUACUGCUACGAGUUCUGAUAUGUCACAUGUUAUUGAUGAUGCCACUUCUGCUAUGCAUGAUGAAACUACUUCUGUGCAUGAUACUACUUUGCCAUUAGGUGAAUUUCUUGAUGAACAACUUGCUAGAGUUAGGGGGAAUGAAAUUAUUAAAGAUGCUAUUAUUGAUGACAGUGAUGAUGAAGGUUCUGCCAAUGAUUAUGAAUUACCUAUUGUUCCUGAGGGUUAUGUUAUGAAUGAAGAAGCUGCUAGAGCUAUAUUUGCUUGCAAUGAUAGAUAUGAUCUUAAGAAAUUAUUAGCUAAAUGGAAGCAGUAGUCUCUUAAUGCUAGAAUGAAACCUGACCCUGCUUUUGCUACUUCACCUAUUUGUGUCACUGAUAAGGAUUAUGAAUUCUCUGUUGAUCCUGAAAUUAUUACUUUAGUUGAAUCUGAUCCUUUUUAUGGCCUUGAAUCUGAAACUGUUGUGGCACAUCUUACCAAGUUGAAUGAUAUAGCCACCCUAUUUACUAAUGAUGAGAAGUCUCGCUAUUAUUAUAUCCUUAAGAUAUUUCCAUUCUCAUUAAAGGGUGAUGCUAAGACUUGGUAUAAUUCUCUUGCUCCUGGUUGUGUGCGUAGUCCCCAGGAUAUGAUUUAUUACUUCUCUGCUAAAAAUUUCCCUGCUCAUAAGAAACAAGCUGCCUUGCGGGAAAUAUAUAAUUUUGUGCAAACCAAAGGAGGGAGUCUCCCACAAGCUUGGGGGAGGCUUCUCCGAUUACUCAAUGCUUUGCCUGAUCAUCCUCACAAGAAAAAUGAAAUAGUUGAUAUAUCUUUUAUAAUGGGCUAACUGAUGCUUCCAAGGACUACUUGGAUAGUUGUGCUGGUUGUGUUUUCAAGGAAAGAACAGUCGACGAAGCUGAAAUAUUAUUGAAUAAUAUGUUGACUAAUGAAAAUAAUUGGACUCUUCUUGAGCCAAUUCCUGAAGCAAUUGAGCCAAUUCCUGAGCCUAUUCCUAAACCCACUCCGAAGAAGAGAGGUGUUUUAUUUCUCAGUCCUGAAGAUAUGCAAGAGGCAAAGAAAUCAAUGAAAGAAAAAGGUAUUAAAGCUGAAGAUGUUAAGAAUUUACCACCUAUUGAAGAAAUACAUGGUCUUAAUAUACCACCUGUUGAAGAACCACAUUGUCUUGAUAACCUGACACAGGUAGUAAAGGUAAAUUCUCUCUAUAGAUAUGAUAAAGUUAAAAUUCCCUCUACUAAAUUUCGUAGCCCUUGCUUAGAUGAAUUUGAUGACUUUAUGGCUAGACAAGAAAGUUUUAAUGCUUAUAUUGGUAGCGAGUUAAAGAAUAAUGCUUUCGAGAUAGGAUGCGUAGGCGAUAAUAUAGCUAGAGUUAAAGAUGAACUCAAACUCGUUAGCAAAUAUGCUUCUAUGGUUGCUACCCAAGCUGAGCAAGUACUUAAAGCUCAAAAUGAUUUGCUUGAUGUAUUAAAUAAUAAAAAUGACUAUGCUGUUAGAGUGGCUACUAGAACUGGUAGAAUGACUCAGGAACCUUUGUAUCCUAAAGGCCACCCUAGGAGAAUCGAGCAAGAUUCUCAGAGAAACAAUUUAGAGGCACCUAGUUCUUCUAAAAAGAAGAAGAAGAAAAACGAUAAAACUUUGCAUGCUUCUAGUGAACAUAUUGUAGACACACCUGAGAAUCCCAAUGAUAUUUCUAUUUCUGAUGCUAAAACACAAUCAGGUGAUGAACAUGAACCUAGUGAUAAUGUCAAUGAUAAUGUUCAUGUUGAUGCUCAACCUAGCAAAAACAAUGAAGUAGAAAUUGAACCUGCUGUUGAUCUUGAUAACCCACAAUCAAAGAAUCAACGUUAUGAUGAGAGAGAUUUUGUUGCUAGGAAGCACGGUACAGAAAGAGAACCAUGGGUUCAGAAACCCAUGCCCUUUCCUCCUAAACCAUCCAAGUCAAAGGAUGAUGAGGAUUUUGAGCGCUUUGCUGAAAUGGUUAGACCUAUUUUCUUACGUAUGCACUUAACUGAUAUACUCAAAGUAAAUCCUUAUGCUAAGUAUAUGAAGGAUAUCAUUACAAAUAAAAGAAAGAUACCGGAAGCUGAAAUUUCCACCAUGCUUGCUAAUUACACUUUUAAGGGUGGAAUACCAAAGAAACUUGGAGAUCCGGGUGUGCCAACUAUACCAUGCUCCAUUAAAAUAAAUUAUGUUAGAACUGCUUUAUGUGAUCUUGGAGCCCAUGUUAGUGUUAUGCCUCUCUCGUUAUAUCGUAGACUUUAAUUGAAUAAGUUGACACCUACUGAAAUAUCUUUGCAAAUGGCUGAUAAAUCAACUACUAUACAUGUCGGCAUUUGUGAGGAUGUGCCUAUUGUGGUUGCAAAUGUCACUAUCUUAACGGACUUUGUUAUUCUUGAUAUUCCCGAUGAUGAUAGUAUGUCUAUUAUCCUUGGUAGACCUUUUCUUAAUACUGCAGGGGCUGUUAUUGAUUGCAACAAAGGCAAUGUCACUUUUCAUGUUAAUGGUAAUGAGCAUACGGUACACUUUCCGAGGAAACAGUCUCAAGUUCAUAGCAUCAAUUCUAUUGGAAAGGUUCCAACUAUUAUUAUUGGAGGUUUUGAAUUUCCUCUCCCUACUGUCAAGAAAAAGUAUGAUAUUCUUAUUGUUGGGGACUUUCAUAUCCCCAUUGAGGUAACUUAGUGUUAUUCGAAAUUUCUCCGGUUCCGUGUUAUUCGGAAUGAGUUUGUUAACAAGACUUGAUCAACCUUGUUAGUGGAUUCAUUUUAAUGAUCACGAGAUGGAUGGAACUAGAAGGCACAACCUUCUGCACCCUCUUUUUACUUUCUGUUAUUUAGAAUAAAUAAACCAAAAAUAGUAUUAUCUGUCUGUUUUUUGAAUUAUCCGUGCAUUAAAAAAUAGUCCGAAAAUAAAAGUGCUCCAAAUGCCCUGCAAAUUUAGUAUGAUUUUUUCUGGAAUAUUUGAGGAUUUUAGGCACUGAAAUCACUGCAGGAGGGGCAAGCACCAGGCCACGAGAGUGGAGGGUGCCCCCCCUAUAGGGCGCGCCCCUGUCUCGUGGGCCCCUUGUGGCCCCCUCCACUUAUGCCAGCACCCACACACUUCGUUUUCUACCCAAAAAAAAUCCCCAUCCAGCUCAAGCACGAGUUCUAGCUCAUUUUGCUGCGAUUUUCGAUCUCCUGCUCAAAGCUCCAUUUACAAAACUGCUUUGGGAGAUUGUUGCUUGGUAUGUGACUCCUCCAUUGGUCCAAUUAGUUUUUGUUCUAGUGCUUUAUUCAUUGCAAAUUUUUGCUGCAUAGGUGACCAUGUUCUUGAGCUUGCAUGUUAAAUUUAUGAGGUCCCAAGCAAUUCCAAUGCAUGAUAUAGGCUCUAGGCACUUGUAGGAUUAGUUGCUACCAAUCUUGUUAAGUUUUAUUCACUUUUAUUUUGAAGUUACUAAAAUUUCAGAAAUGUUUCAGAAAAAGAAUUAUGUCUAGGAGAAUGUACCAAGGUGGUCCCUCGGUGAAGAAAGGGCCCAGGAUUGCUAUACGUGAGCAAGAUGUCGAAUUGCCGAGGGACGUGGAUGCAUGAGCUUGUGAGUGGCCAUCCGAUGAUUUUAUGGUCGAAGUAGGCUUCAAGGAGGAAUUUGACGUGUAUGUGCAUAAUGCCGAGCUGGAGGACUUCUUACAAGAUAAGUGUCCGCAGUACUAUCAGUUGACUGAUUCUUUUGUGCGGAGGUUUAAAUAUAACUGUGCGCGUAAUUCUCCUAGUGUCAUAUUUGAUAUUUAUGAUACAUCUUAUACCAUGGAUUUAGAGGAUUUUACAACUGCUUGCAGACUCCGGUAGUGGGGUAAUAUUAAUGAUCCUCACAAAUCUGAAUUUAGAGAUUUUCUUGCUGGUAUCACUGUGGGAGAAUCUAGGGACAUAGCACAAGCCACCAUAGGGAGCAUUCAUUUUCCUGCUAUGCAUUAUUUUGCUCUCUUUAUUGGUAGAUGCAUUAAUGGUAAGGAUGAAGCAUGUCACAUGUGUGUCCCUGAUCUGUGUGUCCUCAAGAGUGCUGUGUUAGGUUAUAAAUGUUAUAACUUGGGGGCAAUAGUUGCACGUAGGUUGCAGAAUAAUAGUAGAAAGGGAAAUUUAUUUGGAGGAAUUUAUGCAACCCGUGUGGCUAAUUAUCUUAAUAUAGCCCCACGAGAGGGGGAUAUGAUUUUACCUCCUGUUUAUUUGGAUAAAGAAGCUAUGUUCAAUCAUCAAUUUCUUGCGAGGAAUGAACAAUUCCUCCAAUAUUGACUAACCUAUGACAGACGCAUCGUCGUCCCUGUUACUCUUCCUGCUCCCUACCUUUUUGAUUAUCAGGCAAAAGGAAGAUAUGUUGUCACCAGGGAGGAAGCAGCUGAACACGAGAGGAGAGCGGAGGCAACUCGCCAACACGCCGUAGCUCAGGAGGCGGUUGCCGCUGCAUCUCAGUACGACCCCGGUUUCACUUAUGGAUAUCAGCCAGGCGGUCCUUGGUACUAGACCAACUUAGGCCAAAAGCCUAAGCUUGGGGGAGUACGUAUUUCUCACCGACUUUACAUUCAUGUUCACGGUGCUCAUACUCUUUCAUUGCAUUAUCCAUGCUAGUUUAAUUUUCUUUUUUCUAGUUUUCUUCUUGUGUGUUUGAUAAACUUUAAGAAAAACAAAAAAAAUUAGUUAGUUUAAUUUUUAUGCUUGUAGUAGAAUUAAAAUGAAAACCCAAAAAGAUUUCUUAUUCUUCUUCUUACUUGUUGGGAGCUUUCCCGUGUAAAUAGUUUUAUUUUAUUUUCUUUCUUUUGGGGGUCGAGAAGACCAUAUUGAAAAUGUUUAGUGGCUCUCAUAUGCAUGAUUGUUUAUUUAACUUAGAGCCCAUAUUACCCUGUCUUCUCUCUUGAGUUGAAUGCUUGCAGAUUCCAGCUUAGUCCAAUGCACGUGCACUCUUAUUAUUAUUAUACACAUCGUUCGGUUGUGCAAGUGAAAGGCAAUAAUGACGAUAUAUGAUGGACUUACUGGGAUGAGAAAAGCUGGUAUGAACUCGACCUCUCUUGUUUUUGUAAAUAUGACGAGUUCAUCGUUUCUGAGUCAGCUUAUUAUGAAGUAAACAUAUUUGCAAUGACAUUUAGAGAUUAUAGUUGCUUGUGCCAUGCUUGAUUAGCUAUGAGUUAUAAUGGUUUACCUUGCGUGCCAACAUAUUAUUAGAAUGAUUAUGAUGUGAUAUGAUGGGAUGGUAUCCUCCUUUGAAUGAAUUGAGUGACUCGACUUGGCACAUGUUCACGCAUGUAGUUGAACCAAAUCAACACAGCCUUCAUGAUAUUUAUGUUCAUGGUGGAUUAUAUCCUACUCAUGCUUGUCCUCGGUGUGAAUUAAUUUUAAUGCAUGUUUACGACUGUUGUCGCUCUCUCAGUUGGUGGCUUACCAGUCUUUUGCUAGCCUUCACCCGUACUAAGCGGGAAUACUGCUUGUGCAUCCAAACUCCUUAAACCCCAAAGUUGUUCCAUAUGAGUCCACUAUACCUUCCUAUAUGCGGUAUUUACCUGCCGUUCCAGUAAAUUUGUAUGUGCCAAACUCCAAACCUUCAAAUGAAAUUCUGUUUUGUAUGCUCGAGCAGCUCAUGUUAUAACUAGGGCUGCCUAUAUCUUCCAUGCUAGGUGGGUUAUUCUCAAGAGGAGUGGACUCCGCUCCUCAUUCACGAGAAAGGGUUGGUAACCGGGAUGCCUAGUCCCAUGAUUCAAAAAAAGAUCAAAGGAAAUCAAAAUAAUUAAAAAAACUCCCCCAGGGCAGUUGUUAGUUGGAGGCACUCGUUGUUUCGAGCAAGCCAUGGAUUGAUGUUUGCUGGUGGUUGGGGGAGUAUAAACCUUUACCAUUCUGUUUGGGAACUGCCUAUAAUGCAUGUAGUAUGGAAGAUGCAGCCAUCUCAUAGUUGUUGCGUCGACAGUGAAAGUAUGCCGCUCAAAAUGUUAUUCAAUCUCUAUUUUAAAAUCAAGCUCUGGCACCUCUACAAAUCCCUGCUUGCCUUUGUGAAGGGCCUAUCUAUUUACUUUUAUGUUGAGUCAUCACCCUUCUUAUUAAAAAGCACCCGCUGGAGAGCACACUGUCAUUUGCAUUCAUUAUUAUUGGUUUAUAUUGGGUAUGACUUGACUGGAUCUCUUCCAUGAAUUACAAUGUUUAAUCACUCCUUGAUCUUUAAAGGUGCUCUGCAUUUAUGUUUUGCAGUCUCAGAAAGGGCUAGCGAGAUACCAUUUUGUUAUAUCAUGUUAUGAUUAUUUUGAGAAAGUGUUGUCAUCCGAGUUUUAUUAUUAUCGCUCGCUAGCUGAUUAUGCUAUUGAUAUGAGUAAUUGUGAGACCUAAGUGUUAUUGUGAGUAUGGUUAGUUCAUAAUAUUUGCUGAAACUUGAAUGCUGGCUUUUCAUGUUUACAACAACAAGAGAAAACAGAGUUUGUAAAAGUUUUUCUUUAUCACUUUCAAUUUAUCAACUGAAUUGCUUGAGGACAAGCAAAGGUUUAAGCUUGGGGGAGUUGAUACGUCUCCAACGUAUAUACUUUUCCAAACACUUUUGCCCUUGUUUUGGACUCUAACAUGCAUGAUUUGAAUGAAACUAACCCAGACUGACGCUGUUUUCAGCAGAACUGCCAUGAUGUUGUUUUAUGUGUAGAAAAGGAAAGUUCUCGGAAUGUCCUGGAAAUCCACGGAGGCACUUUUUGGAAUUAAUAAGAAUUUCUGGGCGAAAGAAAUACACCAGGGGGCCCACACCCUGUCCACGAGACAGGGGGCGCCCCCCCUAGGGCGCACCCUCCUAUCUCGUGGCCCCCCUGGACCUCCACCGACCUCAACUCCAACUCCAUAUAUUCACAUUCGGGGAGAAAAAAUCAGAGACAAAGUUUCAUCGCGUUUUACGACAUGGAGCUGCCGCCAAGCCCUAAUCUCUCUCGGGAGGGCUGAUUUGGAGUCCGUUCGGGGCUUCGAAGAGGGGGAUUCGUCGUCAUCGUCAUCAUCAACCAUCCUCCAUCACCAAUUUCAUGAUGCUCACCGCCGUGCGUGAGUAAUUCCAUCGUAGGCUUGCUGGACGGUGAUGGGUUGGAUGAGAUUUACCAUGUAAUCAAGUUAGUUUUGUUAGGGUUUGAUCCCUAGUAUCCACUAUGUUCUGAGAUUGAUGUUGCUAUGACUUUGCUAUGCUUAAUGCUUGUCACUAGGGCCCGAGUGCCAUGAUUUCAGAUCUGAACCUAUUAUGUUUUCAUGAAUAUAUGUGUGUUCUUGAUCCUAUCUUGCAAGUCUAUAGUCACCUAUUAUGUGUUAUGAUCCGACAACCCCAAAGUGACAAUAAUCGGGAUACUUCUCGGUGAUGACCGUAGUUUGAGGAGUUCAUGUAUUCACUAUGUGCUAAUGCUUUGUUCCGGUUCUCUAUUAAAAGGAGGCCUUAAUAUCCCUUAGUUUCCGCUAGGACCCCGCUGCCACGGGAGGGUAGGACAAAAGAUGUCAUGCAAGUUCUUUUCCAUAAGCACGUAUGACUAUUUACGGAAUACAUGCCUACAUUACAUUGAUGAAUUGGAGCUAGUUCUAUGUCACCCUAUGUUAUAGCUAUUACAUGAGGAAUCACAUCCGGCAUAAUUAUCCAUCACUGAUCCAUUGCCUACGAGCUUUUCAUAUAUUGUUCUUCGCUUAUUUACUUUUCCGUUGCUACUGUUACAACUACUACAAAACCCCCAAACUAUUGUCUUUACUUUUGCUACCGUUACCUUUAUUAUCAUACCACUUUUGCUACUAAAUACUUUGCUGCAGAUACUAAGUUAUCCAGGUGUGGUUGAAUUGACAACUCAACUGCUAAUACUCAAGAAUAUUCUUUGGCUCCCCUUGUGUCGAAUCAAUAAAUUUGGGUUGAAUACUUUACCCUCAAAAGCUGUUGCAAUCCCCUACACUUGUGGGUUAUUAGUUACCAAGUUUCUCAAGGUGCAAUGGUCGAAUCAUACUAAAGAGGAAGUGAAAGCACAAGUGCUCCCUGGGUGAUUUUGGUAAUUAAUGUCAACAUAUCUCCUGUUGGACUAACACUUUUACCUAGUAUGUUUCAGACAAGUUCAACAAUGGAGUGGCAUGGACUAAAGGAUGUGGAACCCCUUCAAGAUGCUAAGGACAAAGGAUUGGCUCAAGCUCCAAGAUCAAGACUCUACAUUUUCUAUUUUAGUGAUCCAAGAUCACAUUGAGUCUAUAGGAAAAGCCAAUACUAUCAAGAGGGGAUGAGGUGUUGCUUAAUGGCUUGCUUGCUCAAAGUGCUUAGUGAUAUGCUCCAAAGCCCUCAACUACUUUCUCACAUCCACAUAUGUCCUAAACCAAAAGUCUAACUCGGCCCUACCGAUUCUUUCCAUCCGGCACCACCGAGUUCAGAUGUCUUAGCCACUGCCACAAACCCUAGGCAAAUCGGUCUCACCGAUAGGGAUCUCGGUCUCACCGAGAUGGGAUUGUAAUCUCUCUGUUUCCCUUUGUAACGUUUCGGUACCACCGAGAUGAGCGAUCGGUCCCACUGAGAUUGCAAUGUAAAUUCUCUGUUUCCUUUUCGUAACAUUUCAGUCUCACCGAAAUGAGCAAACCGGUCCCACCGAGUUUACCUGACCAACUCUCUGGUUAGCUUAUUACCAAAAUUGGUCCCACCGAGUUUGUGUAAUCGGUCUCACCGAGAUUACGUUAUGCCCUAACCCUAAUCAUAUCGGUCCUACCGAGUUGCAUGUCGGUCCCACCGAAAAUCCUAAUGGUCACUAGAUUUGCUGAAUCGGUCCGACCGAGUUUCUCAAUUCGGUCCCACCGAGUUUGGUAAGUUGUGUGUAACGGUUAGAUUUUGUGUGGAGGCUAUAUAUACCCCUCCACCUCCUCUUCAUUCGUGGAGAGAGCCAUCAGAAUGAACCUACACUUCUAGCAUACAUUUUCUGAGAGAGAACCACCUACUCAUGUGUUGAGACCAAGAUAUUCCAUUCCUACCAUAUGAAUCUUGAUCUCUACCCUUCCCUAAGUUGCUUUCCACUCAAAUCUUCUUUCCAUCAAAUCCAAAUCCUGUGAGAGAGAUUUGAGUGUUGGGGAGACUAUCAUUUGAAGCACAAGAGCAAGGAGUUCAUCAUCAACACACCAUUUGUUACUUCUUGGAGAGUGGUGUCUCCUAGAUUGGCUAGGUGUCACUUGGGAGCCCCCGACAAGAUUGUGGAGUUGAACCAAGGAGCUUGUAAGGGCAAGGAGAUUGCCUACUUCAUGAAGAUCUACCGCUAGUGAGGCAAACCCUUCAUGGGCGACGACCAUGGUGGAAUAGACAAGGUUGCUUCUUCGUGGACCCUUUGUGGGUGGAGCCCUCCGUGGACUCGCGCAACCGUUACCCUUCGUGGGUUGAAGUCUCCAUCAACGUGGAUGUACGAUAGCACCACCUAUCGGAACCACGACAAAAACAUCCGUGUCUCCAAUUGCGUUUGAAUCCUCCAAUCCCUUCCCUUUACAUACUUGCAAGUUGCAUGCUUUACUUUCCGCUGCUCAUAUACUCUUUGCAUGCUUGCUUGUUAUGUAUUGUGAUUCUUAAACUUGUGCCAAAACUCCACUUAAACUUAAAGAAGUUAAAAACUGCAACUUUUGGUACUUAGUGUCUAAUCACCCCCCUCUAGACACCUCUUCUCGAUCCUUUCAGGAAGCCACUUGGGAACGCGAAGAUAACCUCCGGGCUGAAUACCCCGACCUGUUCCCUUCUACCUCUUAAUUCUCGGGACGAGAAUUUCUUUUAGAGGAGGAGAGUUCUAACACCCUGGUGUAAUGAUGCUACAGUAAUCCCUGAGAUCAAGCUAAUCAUUUUUCUAUAACAGUGCUUGGUCACUUUGAUCAAUAUUCCAUUUCAAAUUCUAGUUGAAUUCAAUAUGAAUUUAUGUGUGAAAUUCAAAAAUGCCCAGACAUGAAAACUAAAAUGUUCAUCAUGUGGAACAUAUUCUUCUGGUAAUAUUGGUGGUGAACCAACAUUUUUGCAAAAUGUUUAAGUUGCCUAAAAUAGCUAAAACAGAAAAGCUUUAAAGAAAGGAAAAGCAAGGAGAAAAAGAAGAAGGAAAAGGCCCCCCUCAACUGGGCCGAAUGGCCCUGCUGGCCACCGCGCCCCCCUUGGGCUUCGGCCCACCCCAGCAGGCCGGCCCACCUACCUCCCCGGUCGCUCUCCCCUCGCCCUGUUCAACCAACAGAGGGCGCACGCCCGCGCGUUGCCGCCGGACCACCUCGCCGUUGAUGAGGGGGAUGAGGAUCCCCUCGACGCCUCGAGUCCUCGCCCUCACCUACCGCCACUCCCACUUCCCCUCGCCCACUCCGCCUGCUACUCCUCUCCUCUCUCCCUUCAGAUCCAUCUCCACCGAGCUCUGUCGCCUUCGAGCACCGCGCUCCACCGCGGCCAUCGGCGCCCAAUCCUCCCUCCGAGGUGUCUAGGAGGUCCGCGGUGGACUGCUUCUUCCUCCUCAUCACCGGGUUGAGCCCGAGGAGCGCCACCGUUGUUGCUCACGUCUUCUUCCCCAACUGCAGCCACCGCUACGCCGCCAUUCGAUCCACCCCGAGUCUGCAGCUACUAAACCCCCACGGGCCAUCGUGUGAGCCACUCGGUGAGCCUCUCUUCCUCCCUCAUCUCUUUGGUCAUCCUUGCACGCACGCUAGCUGCUUCUCCCACAGCGUCCGAAUGCGCUGCGGCCUGCGCACGUCGCCGGAUUGACUCCGGUGACCCUUUGGUUGCAGGCUGGAGUCCAACGUGCUCGUUGCAUUGCGUAGCACCUCCCGCGCCCGUUAGUUCACGCUUUAGCACGCUGCUGCUCCAUUGCAUCGAACGCCCGAACCCCACCAUCGCCUCCACUUGUCGCCGAUGCAGUUCCGGCCAGCCGCGAGCCCAACCGACCUCACCACACGACACGAUGGGCUCUCCCCGUUCGAACACGCCCUCCUGCGCCCAAUUUGGCCGCCGGGCGGUGAAUCCCGACGCACGGCCGCGCCCUCCACCGCGGAUUUGGUCGCCGGAGCUAGCUCCUGCACCACCGCUGACCUGGCCGGCCGGGGCCACCCCCUCGGUCGCUGACCUUUGGGCCCUUGGGGCCCGGGUGUCUUGUUGACUUCGGUCAACUGCUGACUGGGCAGGCCCCAGCCACUGACAUGCAGGCCCUACUACUUAUUUCCUCUAACUAAAAUGUUUUAAUAAUUAAAACUAAUUAGUUUAGCUAAUUAGUCUAUGACAGGUGGGGUCCAGUAGCUAACUAACCUAGAUUAGUUAGUUUAAUACACUGUUAGACUAACAAAGGCUGACAUGUGAGUCCCACAGGACCCACAUGCCUGGUUUGACCUGGUCAGCUGCCCUGUUGACUGCUGAUGUCACUGUGACGUCAUGCUGACGCAAUAAACCCUUCUGUUAAUUUAUUUAAUUCUAGAAAAUGUUUAAAACUUUGAAAAUUCAUAGAAAAUAAACCGUAGCUCGGUUGGAAAAACUUUAUACAUGAAAGUUGCUCAGAACGACAAGUCAAACCCGAAUACGCUAACCACAUACCUGUCAGAUGCUUCUAACUACCCGAACAUGGAACAUUCCCCUCUGGUCAUCUGUCUGACACAGGUCCGAAACCGGGAAUACAUUCCCUGUUGAAUUCCCCCUUCACCUAUAUCGUGUAGCCAUGUGUUAGGUCACUCCCGGCACAACAUAUUGCCACGUUAUGCUUUGUGAUGCUAUGUUUGCUUUAUAUUUACUAUUUCUUCCCCCUCUUCUCUCCGGUAGACCCCGAGACUGAUGCUGCCCCUGUGAUCGACUACGUCGAUGAUGACCCCUCCUUGCCAGAGCAACCAGGCAAGCCCCCCCUUUGAUCAUCCCGAUAUCGCCCAUUCCAGUCUCUCAUGCUUGCAUUAGAUUUUGCUACUGUUAUUGUUUGCUCCUAUUCUGAUGCAUAGCCUGCUUUUGUAACCUGCUCAUUGUUACCUACCUCCUUAUCCUAAACUGCUUAGUAUAGGUUGGUUAGUGAUCCAUCAGUGACCCCCACCUUGUCCUUGUUGCCCCUGCUUAAUCAUUGAAGACCCGAUCAACGGGAUCGAAGACCAGGCCCCGGCACCGCACAUCACUUUGAACUUAGUUGCUCGACACUACUGGGUUACUAUCGAGUGCCGAGGGUGAGACCCCUACAGCACUUCUAACAUUAACCCUGUAGUGAAGCUAUUCGGUCGUGGUCAUCGGGGGUGAUUCCGCCUUAACCACUUCCGAUACGACUCUGUCGUGCAACCCCUCAAGUGUGAACCUCAUGAGUGGUUCCUCUUACGUUCACCUUGAUGAUUACAUCGAGUGGAAUUCACCAGGGGUGAUUCCUCGGUUUCCCCUUGAUGUUUGGACACACAGAUACUUGGACUUUACAGCUAUUACUUGGAAAGGCGGGUCGACCCUGAGGGGUACCUGCGAGUGAUGUGGAGACGGGUUGACCUAGAAGGUGCCCGCGAGAUACUUACGAGGCGUGGCCGGGCAUUCCUAGCCCUUGCCGCAAGUCCUCGAGAUGGGGCAACGGGGUCACAUAUUUCGUGAGUCUCUGCUUGUUACCACGCGUUCCUAAUCCACUAUGAUUUGGAUAUUUGAUCCAACGGGCCUCUGGCCUGAUAGCACUAACCAUCACGUGGGCAUAGUAUGGGCGUUCUGCGUCAUAUACAUCAGCCGAAGCUUAAUAGACGUCAGCGACUGAGUGGCGCGCACCGGGUUGGACUGCUUAAGCACCUGCCUUUUUGAAGGAGGUAGCUAGGUCUGCUCACCGACCGCCCACACAACAUGCAGGAGUUCCCGGGGAGAUGGCUCAUGACCCUUGGGGGCAUAGGUUUAGUCCGGCGUGCUUGACCUCUCUAUUAAGCCUAGAUCGGGUUGCAGCGUAUUGUUUGGCCGACGCCAGGCAUGAUCUAGGAAAGUGUGUCCGGCCGGAGUUAAUUGAGUGUGGUGGGUAAGUUGGUGCACCCCUGCAGGGAAGAAAACAUCUAUCGAUAGCCUGUCCUACGGUAACGGACACUUGGAGUUGUAUCCCGAUCGAUACAACUAGAACUGGAUACUUGUGAUGAGAAUUGGAUUGUGAUGAGGUGAUAACUGGAUAGUAUGGCUCUAGGAUUGCUUUCUCGCAGGGAGUCGAGAAAGGAUCUCUGGCCGAGGUUGAUAACACUACUACUACUUUACUUUAUGCUACUCUACUCCCUCCUGUUUGCUGCAAGAUGGUGGUUUCCAGAAGAUGCUAGUCUUCGAUAGGACUACGCCUUCUCUCUAUUCUGGCAUUUCUGCAGCCCAGUCCACAUAUAAAACCCCUCUUUGAUAAUGUUGCAUAUGUAGUGUAGAUCCUUGCUUGCGAGUACUUUGGAUGAGUACUCACGGUUGCUUUGCUCCCCCUUUUCCCCCUUUCUUCUGCUUUCCGGUUGAUGGAACCAGAUGUCGGAGCCCAAGAUCCAGACGCCACCUUUGACGAUGACUGCUACUACCACGAGGGUGCCUACUACUGCAUGAAGACCGUCGACGACUAGGAGUAGUUAGGAGGCUCCCAGGCAGGAGGCCUUGCCUUUUCGAUCAUAGAUGCUUUUGUGCUAGCCUUCUUAAGGCAAACUUUUCUAACCUAUGUCUAUACUCAGAUAUUGUGGCUUCCGCUGACUCUUGUGUAUUCGAGCUUAUGUAUUCAAGCCCUCGAGGCCCCUGGCUUGUAAUAUAAAGCUUGUAUUAUUUUAAUUUGUGUCUAGAGUUGUGUUGUGAUAUCUUCCCAUGAGUCCUUGAUCUUGAUCGUACACAUUUGCGUGUAUGAUUAGUGUAUGAUUGAAUCGAGGGCAUCACUGGUUGGCACCCACCUCAGUUAGAGAGAUCAGAAGUUUUCUUGGACUCGCAGGUUAUUAUCAUAGAUUUAUUGAGAUUUUUUCCAAGAUCGCGAAGCCCAUGAUGGAGUUAUUGAAGAAACACACCAAGUUUAAAUGGAUCGAGGAUUGUGAGGCCAGUUUUCAGGAGUUGAAGAAAUGUCUGGUUACAGCCCCAGUGCUGAUUCUCCCGAACAUAUGCAAGGAUUUCCAAGUAUAUUGCGACGCUUCACAUCAGGGACUUGGAGGUGUUAUUAUGCAAGAAGGAAGAGUUGUUUCAUAUGCCUCACGACAGCUUCAACCCCAUGAGUUGAAUUAUGCCGUGCAUGAUUUGGAGUUAGCAGCUGUAGUGCAUGCGCUCAAGACUUGGAGGAAUUUUCUUAUCGGAAAUCGUUGUGAUGUUUACAUGGAUCAUAAGAGUUUGAAGUACACCUUCACGCAAAAGGAGUUGAACCUCAGGCAGAGGAGAUGGUUGGAGCUCAUAAAGGAUUAUGACAUGAGACUACAUUAUCAUCUAGGAAAGGCCAAUGUCGUAGCAGAUGCGUUGAGCUGCAAGAGUUAUGUUAACACGCUCAUAACCGGAGGAUUACCUCAGGAGUUAGCCGAUGAUCUCCGAGAACUUCGCUUGGAGAUAGUUCCGAGAGGUUAUGUUGCGGCACUAGAAAUUCAGUCCACUUUGCUGGGAAAGAUCCGAGAAGCCCAGAAGACGGACAAGGAGAUUGCAGAAAUAAAAGAAAGGAUGAGUAAAGGAAAGGCUAAAGGUUUUCAUGAGGAUGAGCAUGAAACUUUAUGAUUUGAGGAUCGUAUCUAUGUGCCUAAUGACCCUGAGAUCAAGAAGUUAAUUCUUCAGGAGGCUCAUGAUUCGCCUUAUUCAAUUCACCCAGGCAACACCAAGAUGUAUCUGGAUUUGAAGGAGAGUUUAUGGUGGACAGGAAUGAAGAAGGAUAUUGCAGAGUAUGUAGCAGUAUGUGAUGUAUGUCAGAGAGUUAAGGCCGAGCAUCAUAAACGAGCAGGGUUACUUCAGCCUUUGCUGAUACCCGAAUGGAAGUGGGAUAAACUUGGCAUGGAUUUCAUCAUCGUAUUACCCAGAACUCGUUCAAGCUAUGAUUCUAUCUGGGUUGUAGUUGAUCGCUUGACCAAGGUAGCCCAUUUCAUCCCCGUGAAAACAAGUUAUAUGAGUGCUAAGUUGGCGAAGAUAUACAUGACCAGGAUCGUAUGUCUACAUGGAGUUCCGAGGACCAUCGUAUUGGAUAGAGGAACACAAUUUACUUCAAAGUUUUGGAAUCAAUUGCAUGAAACUUUGGGUACCAGGCUAGAGUUCAAUACAACCUUUCAUCCACAGACAGAUGGACAGACCGAGAGAGUCAAUCAGAUUCUGGAGGACAUGUUGAGAGCUUGUGCGCUAGAUUAUGGAUCUAGUUGGGAUGAUAAUUUACCCUAUGGAGAGUUCUCCUAUAACAAUAGUUAUCAAGCCAGUUUGAAGAUGGCCCCUUUCGAAGCUUUGUACGAAAGGAGGUGCAUGACACCAUUGUCGUGGGAUGAAGUUGGAGAUCGACAAUUGUUCGGACCAGAUUUAAUCAGAGAUUCUGAGGAGAAGGUCAAGUUGAUUCGAGAUAGACUCAAGAUAGCUCAGUCCAGGCAGAAGAGCUAUGCCGAUACUAAACGCAAUGAGGUAGCCUAUGAAGUCGAAGACAUAGCAUAUCUUCGUAUAUCACCACUACGUGGAGUUAAGCGAUUUGGAGUCAAAAGGAAGCUAGCACCAUGAUUUGUGGGACCAUACUGAGUCUUGGAACGUAUGGGAGAAAUUGCCUACAAGUUGGCAUUACCCGAAGGCUUGUCAGGAGUUCAUGAUGUGUUUCAUGUUUCCCAGUUGAAGAAGUGCCAUGCAGAGAUGGCUGAUAUUCCUCUGAGAGAUUCAGUGCCACUGGAAGCGAUUUAGUUGGAUAGUGAUCUGACCUAUGGGGAGAAACCCGUUAAGAUUCUCAAGUUUUCCAACCCAGUUACUCGCAGCAGAGUCACCAAGUUUUGCAAAGUUCAGUGGAGCCACCAUACUGAGGAGGAAGCUACCUGGGAGCGCGAAGAAGACCUCCGCAAGGACCACGCACACCUUUUUGCUGACCAACCUGAAUCUCGAGGGCGAGAUUCAUCUUAAGGGGGGUAGGUCUGUAACAUCCCAAUUUUCAGUUUGGAUGUUAUUCAUAGAUCAUUCAUAUGCACCCAUGAUUUAUGCAUUUUUGUUGCUUUGUUUUAGUUGCUUUUUGAUCCAAGAGACCUUCAACAACUCAAGGACCAAUUUGAGCGAGUUGGAGGUUUCACAAAUAUCUCAUUUUGAUUUAUCAAAUUUGAUAAUUGGAUCAAAUUGUUUUUCAAAAUUCUUUUCCAAUUAUUUUAAAUUAAAGAGAGAGGAUAAAAGGACUUCUUCAAAAUCAACAAAGAAAUACUGGAAAUUGAAUUUUCAAUUUUUGGAGAGUUUAUUUAUUUUUAUUCGCUAGUUUAUUUAUUUCUUAGCGGACUAAAUAGUACUAUAAUGUUUGUUUUUAGUUUAGGCAUUUAGACCGAGAAAAAUGUUCACUAGGUCACUAAUAAGGCCAUAUUACUAUGUGAAUUUUUCGGGUAUUUUUAGGAUUUUAUUUAUAUUUAUUUUAGCGUGUUUUGUCUCUUUGAAAAAAAUUGUUUAAAAAAAUGUUUGUGGCCAAACUGGGCCGGUUAAGCUAGCGCCAGGCCGCAGCCCAGACGCCUUCGCCCGCCCGACCGCCUGAGGGACGUAGUCCCGAGCGCCCCCGCCGCCCUCCGGAGUCCGACCCAGUUUCCACCUCGCUGCCGCCUCCCUUGCCCCCUCCUCCAAGCCGCCCGCACCCCGACCCCCUUUAAAUACCGAGGCCCCCGGCUCCUUGCUUCCCCACCUCGACCACUGCCGCCGCAGCCGCACACCACCGCCCUCGCAGCCGCACAUCGCCGCCGCUGCCGCAAGCGCCGCCGCCGCCGUUCGCUGCUGCCGCUGCCGUAGCCGAUGCCGUCCCCACCGUUAGCCGCUGUUGCCGGAGCCUCGCCGCCACCUACCGCCCGUAGCCGCUGCCACCAUGGUCGAAUUCUCCGUCGCCGCCAACUACCGCUGCCGGUAGACCUCCCUGUUCUGAUCUCGACCGUCGGAUCUAAAUCCGACGGCUUAGAUCUUCUGUAUGUUUUUUCUGAACCUUCUAAAUAACGAGCAUUUGCUUGUUAGCUUCUGCUAGUGAACGGUUCAUUCUGUAGGGUUUUGUAGCGCACGUUCGUUCGGUAGAUUUUUCUUUUUAUUUUAGUUUUCUGCGAGGGACCUAUCCGUAGUUUUUUUUAGAGAUUAGUCCAUACGCUUCAAACUAGCACAACUUUUUGCUCGUUUGUCCAAAUUCGACGAAACCAACGCCAAAAUCUUCAGAGCAAUCUCAUCUAUCUAGUAAACAAACUUCAACAUGUUUUUGACAAUUUAAAAUUUGAAUUUAGUUCAGAUUUGAAUUUGAUCUUGUUUUGUUCGUAUCUUGAGUUUCAUAGCUAUGUUUGAGUUAAUUCUUUUUGCAAAUCUUAGCUAAUCACAUGUAUCUUCUGUUAAGAUCCAAUCCAUAUAAUUAUAAUGCUGUUAAAAAUUGUUUUAUGUUUAGGUUAGUUAUUUGCUUGUUUUUGAGUUCUUUGGAUCUUUUCUUCGUUUUCUCUUUGCAUCGGUUGCUUGAGUGCUUAUGUAUGCUAUUGUUUGUCUACGCUAGAUUUUCCGAAGUGCGAAGCUUGUUACUACGAAUAUCUAGAGUUUUCCUAUCGUCAGCAUGGCAAGUUACACUUUGAUCAUACUUUUCAAUACCUAGUUUUUACUAUGCAUUAGUUUUGCCCCUCAAAGAUUUGCAUGAGUAGGAUUGGGAACAUGUGGUUCGGUUGUAGUUCUUGAGGUAGGAACCUAUUACCUUUGAUCACCCCGGGAAUAUAUGUUAUGCUCAUAUAUUGCUUAGCCAUGCUCGUAGACGGGGAUUGGUUCGUGUGAUUCAUGGAAGUUGUGAGAGCUAAUAAUUUUGGACAACAUUAAGGUGGAAACUUUAAUACACAUCUGGGUGGAUUGGUUGGGGCACUUGGAGAAACCAGUGCUUUCCCAUGGGAAUCCCGGAGUACCCGUGUGAUUUUCCCUCGGUUCUCCGCCCAGGCCCAAAGGGAUCAUAUGACACUUCAUGCCUAGAAACUUUCAUGUGCAUCCACAAGCAAUUAUGGGCUCUGGCAUAGUUGAGUAAGUUGUGUGAGCUCUUGAAGAGGUGGACUAGCAGAUUUAGGGGAAAGUAUGUGUACCGGUCUACCUAGAGUAGAGAGUUAAUGCUUCAGAAAGGCUAUAUCGAUCUUCCGAUCAUGGAUGCAGACGAGUCUUGUGCGGAAAAGUGCGCAAACCUCUACAGAGUGUAUAAACUAAUCAUGGUUAAUCGUGUCCCCGGUUCUGGACAAUUUGAGUAUCUAGAAGUGGAUAUUUAUGUUGAUCUCAUCACUCUUUAAUUAAUGUAUUGGGUUUAAUGUUGAUACUUGAUUUUAAUGGUGGGAUUUGAGUUGGAGGAACUUUCUCAACAUGGUAUAAACUAGUAGUAAAUAAAAUUUAUUCCUUUGUUGUAGGAAAAAAUUAUAUUUAUGCAAAAAGUUAAACUUAGAGCCUCUACCAGCCAAAUAUGCAUGUAGAUAUAGUUUCUUUCAUUCAUUUGCUCUAUGCUACCUCUUGAGCAUGCGUUGGUUUUUCCCUUGAAGAGAAAAGGGUGAUGCAGCAAAGUAGCGUAAGUAUUUCCCUCAGUUUUGAGAACCAAGGUAUCAAUCCAGUAGGAGAUGACACACAAGUCACCUAGUACUUGCACAAACAAUCAAGAACCUUGCAACCAACACGAUAAAGGGGUUGUCAAUCCCUUCACAAUCACUCGCAAAAGUGAGAUCUGAUAGUGAUAAUAAAGUAAAUAUUUUUGGUAUUUUUGUUGUAUAGAUUGGAAAGUAAAGAUUGCAAAAUAGUAAACAAGAUGUGAUGUAAACAAAAGAGAUGUAAUAAUAAGAAAGAGACCCGGGGGCCAUAGGUUUCACUAGUGGCUUCUCUCAAGAUAGCAUGUAUUACGGUGGGUGAACAAAUUACUGCCGAGCAAUUGAUAGAAGAGAGCAUAAUUAUGAAGACAUCUAAGGCAAUGAUCAUGAACAUAGGCAUCACGUCUGUGUCAAGUAGACCGAAACGGUUCUGCAUCUACUACUAUUACUCCACACAUCGACCACUAUCGAGCAUGCAUCUAGAGUAUUAACUUCAUAAGAAUGGAGUAACGCAUUAAGCAAGAUGAAAUGAUGUAGAGGGAUAAACUCAAGCAAUAUGAUAUAAACCCCAUAUUUUUAUCCUCGAUGGCAACAAUACAAUACGUGCCUUGCUGCCCCUACUGUCACUGGGAAAGGACACCACAAGAUUGAACCCAAAGCUAAGCACUUCUCCUAUUGCAAGAAAGAUCAAUCUAGUAGGCCAAACUAAACCGAUAAUUCGAAGAGACUUGCAAAGAUAUCAAAUCAUGCAUAUAAGAAUUCAGGGAAGAACCAAAUAAUAUUCAUAGAUAAUCUUGUUCGUAAAUCCACAAUUCAUUGAAUCUCGGCAAACACACCGCAAAAGAAUAUUACAUCGAAUAGAUCUCCAAGAACACCGAGGAGAACUUUGUAUUGAGAAUCAAAGAGAGAGAAGAAGCCAUCUAGCUAAGAACUAUUGACCCAAAGGUCUGUGGUAAACUACUCAUGCUUCAUCGGAGAGGCAAUGGUGUUGAUGUAGAAGCCCUCCGUGAUCGAUUCCCCCUCCGGUAGAUCGCCGGAAAAGGCCCCAAGAUGGGAUCUCACGGGUACAGAAGGUUGCGACGGUGGAAAAGUGGUUUUGUGGCUCCCUCUGAUGUUUCUAGGGUAUAAGAGUAUAUAUAGGCGAAAGAAGUACGUUGGUGGAGCUACAAGGGGCCCACGAGGGUGGGGGCGUGCGUACCCGGGCGUGCCCUCCUGCCUCGUGGCCUCCUUGUAGAGUCCCAGACUUCAACUCCAAGUCUUCUGGAUUGCUUUUGGUCCAAGAAAGAUCCUCGCAAAGGUUUCAUUCCAUUUGGACUCCGUUUGGUAUUCCUUUUCUGUAAACUCUAAAAUAGGCAAAAAAGAGAAACUGGCACUGGGGUUAAUAGGUUAGUCCCAAAAAUAAUACAAAAGAGCAUAUUAAAGCCCAUUAAACAUCCAAAAUAGAUAAUAUAAUAGCAUGGGACAAUUAAAAAUUAUAGAUAUGUUGGAGACGUAUCAAGCAUCCCCAAGCUUAAUUCCUGCUUGUCCUCAAGUAGGUAAAUGAUAAAAAUAGAAUUUUUGAUGUGGAAUGCUACCUAGCAUAUUUAUCAAUGUAAUUUUCUUUAUUGUGGCAUGAAUGUUCAGAUCCGAAAGAUUCAAGGCAAAAGUUUAAUAUUGACAUAAAAAUAA
rnacentral:lncRNA from 1 species